CCACCAGAACCUGAGAAACCUGGUCCAGAGGGAACUAUUCCUACACGUCCCCCUGUUGUUCGUCCGCCUAUACCACCAGGUCCUGUGGAGCCUGGUCCAGAGGGAAUUAUUCCUACACGUCCCCCUGUUGUU